rnacentral:rRNA from 1 species
UACAGAGGGGGCAAGCGUUGUUCGGAAUUACUGGGCGUAAAGGGCGCGUAGGCGGCCUUCUAAGUCAGACGUGAAAUCCCUCGGCUUAACCGGGGAACUGCGUCUGAUACUGGAUGGCUUGAGUUCGGGAGAGGGAUGCGGAAUUCCAGGUGUAGCGGUGAAAUGCGUAGAUAUCCGGAGGAACACCGGUGGCGAAGGCGGCAUCCUGGACCGGUAUUGACGCUGAUGCGCGAAAGCGUGGGGAGCAAACAGG